UUGGCGAAUUAUUGUUUUGUUGUUGUAUUGUGUUGAUUUGAUUCUUUUGAUUAUAGUUUAUUUGUACUGUAAGGGGUUGUGGGUUUUGUUUUUGUAAGUUGACUUUGUUUGUUGUACCUUGUGUAUCAGGGUUUAUUGAUUAUUAUUAUUUAUUUUUAUUUCCCGAUUUCGGAGGAGCUAGGUUUUAAUGUUUUAGUUACUGUUUCACUAGUAUUAGUGACAUUUGCUUGGUGGUGAUAUGCCAUUCGUUUCCGGGGGUAUCUGGUUUCUUAAGAAAUGAAUUUAAUUCACACUUCAUUUUUAGUCUUCAUUUUUGUUUGUUUUGUUUAAGGUGUUGUGAAGGUGUUGGGGGAUAAGCUCUGGCUCUUUUUUAUAAUGUUUUUGUUUAUUUUGUCUUGUGGGCUUUAUGUUGGCCAUCCUUAUGAGUAUUUUAAAAUUUUACUUUCUACUUUCGUUGGAUUUGGUUUACCAUUUAAUAUUUUUAUUGGGAUGUUUAACUUAAUUUUUUAGUUAUGGUAUUUUUGGUUGAAUUAGUAUAUUUUGUUUUGAUUGGUUUGGUUAUGUGUUGAGUUUUAUUAGAGGAAUUCGGCAAAUGUGAGCGCCCGCCUGUUUAGCAAAAACAUCUCUUCCUGUCUUUUGAUUUGAAGUAUGGCCUGCCCGCUGAUUUUAUUGAAGGGCCGCGGUAUUUUGACCGUGCAAAGGUAGCAUAAUCAUUAGUUCUUUAAUUGUGAACUGGUAUGAAUGGUUUGACGAGGUGCUAGCUGUCUUUAACUUGGAUUUAUUGAAUUUGGUGUUUGGGUAAAAAUACCUAAAUUUUUUUAUGGGACGAGAAGACCCUAUAGAGUUUUAUAUAAUGUAUUCUUUUUAGUUUGUUGUGUUUUGUGGGUUGUUUAUAUUUUGUUGGGGUGAUGGGAAGAUAAGUUUAACUCUUCUUUUUUGAUUUCACUUAUUUGUGUUUUUGUGAUCCUUUAUUAUUGAUUGUAAGAUCAAACUACCUUAGGGAUAACAGCAUAAUCUUUUUUGAGAGUUCUUAUUGACAAAAGGGUUUGUGACCUCGAUGUUGGAUUAAGAUGAAUUUUUGGUGUAGAGGCUUUAUUAAUCAAAUUAGGUCUGUUCGACCUUUAAAAUCUUACAUGAUCUGAGUUCAAACCGGCGUGAGCCAGGUUGGUUUCUAUCUAUAAUUUUCUUUUAUUUCUUAGUACGAGAGGACCGGAUAUUUGGAAUAAUUUUCUUGGGUUAGAAUUCUAUUAAUU
rnacentral:rRNA from 1 species